ACACUUGUUGGAUUUGGGGAAAUGAACUCUUGUGGACCACAGAACCUAGAACCGAACACAGAGUACCUGAUAUACGCAAAGGCAAAUGAUUUCGAUUCAAAUACUCUUCAAAUCGUCGCAUACAAAAAUAUGGAUGACGUAAAGAACAAGGAUAUUGAAAGAAUGGAGAAAUUCUACGACUGUAGCUGUAAGAUCAAUCAUGACUACGAUGCCUUCAUAAAUAUGCCAUCCAGCGGGUUACCUGAACCAGCAAGUAACGAGUGUAACGCCCCUUCUGAUUUCUGCCCAAACAGUGGGUUCUGCAAAAAGAGUAUCGAAGGCCAAUGUACCUGGGGAAGCCUCGGCGAUUGUUAUUGAUUGAGUACAAACAAUUUGUAUUGAAUACAUUGGAUUCUCUAAUAAAACAUCCCUGAAUGUACAUUUUCACCU
rnacentral:misc_RNA from 1 species